rnacentral:lncRNA from 1 species
CAGGUGCUGUCUGCAGAGAACUGAAAUAUUGCUGGGAGUGGGAAUAACCUCCACUCAUUUGGUGGCCUGAGGUACCGGGAAUGCAGAUAUAGCCUGCUGAAUUGCAUGUGGAGAGAAUUUACGAGCGGCACAGAUCCCAUAUUUCACAUGAAUGGUUUCCCCAGUUUGCAUUUUCCAGUAGUAGCAAGCUCAACUCUGUUAUUGACAGAUCGCCCUGGGGCCGCCAGCUACAGCCCUGUUUGCAUAGCCAGCUGAGGUGGCACUUUCUCUUGGACAUAUUUUCACAAACAAGUCCUUGACUCUUGUCCCCACAUCUUUCCAAAGCCAGCUCCUUCCUGAGUGGUGGCCUUCAUUAUGACAGUUAAACAGCAAGCCUAAGCAAGCAUCCUACGCAAG